rnacentral:tRNA from 1 species
UCCCUUGUGGUCCAGUGGUUAAAACUCUGUGCUCCCAAUGCAGGGGCCCAGGUUCAAUCCCUGGUCAGGGAA